rnacentral:rRNA from 1 species
GACAGAGGGUGCAACCGUGGUGCGGAAUUACUGGGCGUAAAGCGCGUGUAGGCGGCCAUCUAAGUCGGGCGGGAAAUCCCACGGCUCAACCGUGGAAGUGCACUCGAAGCUGGAUGGCUAGAGUCCUGGAGAGGAAGGUGGAAUGCUUGGUGUAGAGGUGAAAUUCGUAGAUAUCAAGCGGAACACCGGUGGCGAAGGCGGCCUUCUGGACAGUGACUGACGCUGAGACGCGAAAGCGUGGGGAGCAAACAGG